UACGUAGGUGGCAAGCGAUACUCGGAAUCACUAGGCGUAAAGCGCAGGUAGGCGGUUUAGUAAGUCUUUUGUGAAAGCUCCCGGCUUAACUGGGAGAGGUCAAAGGAAACUACUAGGCUAGAGUUUGGUAGGGGAUACUGGAAUUCCUGGUGUAGCGGUGAAAUGCGUAGAUAUCAGGAGGAAUACCGAUGGCGAAGGCAGGUCUCUGGGCCACUACUGACGCUGAGAAGCGAAAGCAUGGGGAGCGAACAGG
rnacentral:rRNA from 1 species